CCAAGCAAGAAUACUGGAGUGGGUUGCCAUGCCGUCUUCAGGGGAUCUUCUCAGCCCAGGAACUGAACCCAUGUCUCCUGCAUUGGCAGGCGAGUUCUUUACCACUAGCACCACCUGGGGAGCCCAAGAGAUUACUACUGGUGCUAUAUUACAGAUGAGACACAGAGAAGCUAAGUCAUUCGCCUAAGGUCACACGGGGAAAAAACAAGGCAUAAAUUCACAUGAAUAGAAAAAAAUCUGAAAGAUUAUAUACAAAAAGAAGUAGAGCUGGUUUGGAGAGAUGAUGAAAUCAUGGGUGCUCUAUAUCCCAUGUGCUUUCCCAGGGACCCUGCCUUGAAGAUUUGGAGUCAGACUAUCUGGAACUGUCAUCAGAAAACAGGGGUCUUUUGCAAGAGUCAGAGAGGUAGAGAGAAAACUCCCCUUUUGACCAAUCUUCUGGGAGAGGCCACCUGUGGGGUCAGCUCCCUUUUAUUAAAGAAAGCCUUAAAAAAAAAAAAAAAAAAGCCUUUCUGUUCAUUCAGGAGCUUGGCCCUCUUGUCAAGUGGUCUGUCCUUCACUGGGCAGGAUCAGGACACACAGGGCUUUAGGAUGCCCCUGUGGGAACCAGCUACCAUCAUCACUGAGUUUGCCAGCAUGUAAACACAACCGUCAUGGGCUCCAAGCCCAGGGGCUGGCAGCGACUGGAAAUCUCUAGUGUUCAUCUGCCUGACAUUUGGUGCCCCUGGGUAGGUAGGUACAGCUGCCUGGUUCACAAACUGCUGGUACAGGACCCAGGCCAACAAGGGUCACAUUCACUUAUCCCCCUCACAGGGGAGUCCCCUGUUAAGGAACCUUCCAUGACCAAAGACAUGGAAGCAACCUAAAUGUCCAUCGCCAGAGGAAUGGGUAAAGAAGAUAUGUACAUAUAUACAAUGGGAUAUUACUCAGCCAUUAAGAAUGAAAUGACAUUUGCAGCAACAUGCAUG